GGCCCGCCAGAUUAUUACAAGUAAAAACUUAAAACUCAAAGGACUUGACGGUGUCCCACACACAACCUAGAGGAGCCUGUCCUAUAAUCGAUGAUCCACGAAGGACCUUACCACCUUUCGCCCAACAACCUAUAUACCGCCGUCGAAAGUUCACCUUAUGAAAGAAAAAAAGUGAACACAAUAGCUCAACACUAAAACGUCAGGUCAAGGUGUAGUUAAUGGGGUGGCUAGAGAUGGGCUACAUUUCCUAUUAAAGGAAAAACGAACGGUAAGAUGAAAACUAACCAGAAGGAGGAUUUAGUAGUAA
rnacentral:rRNA from 1 species